CUUGUUUCAUUGUGUCUCUCUAGUUUGUCCCUAGAUUGACUCCUCUCUUGUUAUUUCCCUUGCAGUUCCCUGUGGUUCAGGUGAUCAAUUACUCCGUAAACAGUAAUUGUUCAUUCUCUCCCCAGUGAAUUUCUGUGGCCUUCUACCCAGUAACCGGUAGUUGUAAACCCCAUUUUGCCCCCUUGCGGAGUUAAACCUUGAUUGU
rnacentral:lncRNA from 1 species